rnacentral:rRNA from 1 species
GCUGGCGGUAUGCUUAAGACAUGCAAGUCGUGCGGUAGAAGGCUUCGGCCUUUGAGAGCGGCGGACGGGUGAGUAACACGUGGGAAUCUGCCUAUUAGUGGGGGACAGCCCAGCGAAAGCUGGAUUAAUACCGCAUACGCCCUACGGGGGAAAGCAGCAAUGCGCUAAUAGAUGAGCCCGCGUAAGAUUAGCUAGUUGGUAAGGUAAAGGCUUACCAAGGCGACGAUCUUUAGCUGGUCUGAGAGGAUGGCCAGCCACAUCGGGACUGAGACACGGCCCGGACUCCUACGGGAGGCAGCAGUCGGGAAUAUUGGACAAUGGGCGCAAGCCUGAUCCAGCAAUACCGCGUGUGUGAAGAAGGCCUGCGGGUUGUAAAGCACUUUCAGUUGGGAAGAUAAUGACGUUACCAACAGAAGAAGCACCGGCUAACUCCGUGCCAGCAGCCGCGGUAAUACGGAGGGUGCAAGCGUUAAUCGGAAUUACUGGGCGUAAAGCGUGCGUAGGCGGCCUGUUAAGUCAGAUGUGAAAGCCCCGGGCUUAACCUGGGAACUGCAUCUGAUACUGGGAGGCUAGAAUGUGGGAGAGGAGAGUGGAAUUUCCGGUGUAGCGGUGAAAUGCAUAGAGAUCGGAAGGAACACCAGUGGCGAAGGCGGCUCUCUGGACCAACAUUGACGCUGAGGCACGAAAGCGUGGG